GGAUUCAGAAUAUUUGAGCUAGAAGGGAACUCAGGAAGGAAUGAAUGAAGUAUUUAUUAAGCACUUACUGUAAGUACUAUGCUAAAACUGGGAAUACAAAGAGAAGACAGUCCCUGCUCUCAAGGAGCUCACAUCCUAAAGAGGAAGAUAACACAUAUGGAAGGUUUCAGGAGCAAGUCAGGUGGAAAAGUUCCAUGGAUUCAGAGACAAAGCAGAUGGAGAUACUUUUUCUUUAAUGUCAUUUCCACUGACGAGAUCAUAUCAGUUUCUGAUGCUGAACCAUUUGACAAGGUCAAGGACUGUGGUGGAAAGCUUUCUUUUCUGAGUUCUCAGCAGUUCCAUAAGGGUGAUUUUCCAGGAUCGCGGCUAAAAGCAUUACUAUCCCCAUGGUUCGUGUCCUGAGCUGACUCCAUCAGGAUUUGAGGGAAGAUGCUAGUCAAGGUGGUGGUAGUGGUCUGGUUUUCCUGACACGUGCUGCCUACUACUGUCUAUCAGUGUACCUUUCUGCUUUGCCUUGGUUGGUAGUUAGUGGUGGAUAGUCGUUUUCUAGUAGUCCCUCCUAUACAGAAGCUGCUUUGCUUGAAUGAUGGCUAUGGGGUUGGAGGGCUGGGGGUCUAGGAGCUGCUGCCACUCUCAGGGUUCCUGUGCCUUUAGAACAAUUGGUGGCAGUUGGUCGGCAGUUGGUGGUGCUGGUGGUGAUAAAGAAGCUUAGUCCUCCUCUCCAUGAUGAUUUCUCCCACUGAUGAUGGCUAUGGGGGCUGGGCUAGAAACAUCUGAUGACACCCUACUGCCUCCAAGCUUCAGGAAAUUCCCAGUCUGAUGAGCAGGAGUGACAAGAAGAGGUGUCAAGAAUGAGGGAGAUACCAACUUGGACCUCAAGGACUUUAGAAUCCGGAAUGCUUGAAGGAAGAAGGCACAAGAGAACCCUCUGUUACUGCAAAACACGUGAAGGUCCAAAGCCGGUGCUUGAGCUGAGCUAUGAAAAGAAAACUAAAGAUUUCAAGAGUUAAAAGGGAGUUGGGAGUGCACACCAGGAACGGGAGCUGGCCAGUGCGAAAUGUCCAAGGAGAGAGAUGGGGAGCUGUGUGUGAAGGACAUUUAAGGCUGUACUGUACUGGAUUGUGGCUGGAUUGUAGACAGUGUGUGCAAAAGGAGUAAUACAGAAUAAAUCUGGAAAAGGAAAUUAGAACCAAAAGGAAAUCAGAGCCAAAUUGUGUGAAGAACUAUUAUUAAAUACCUAAUACUGGUUAUAUAUUUUAAUUAUAUUAGCUCACAUUUACAUAGUGCUUUAAGAUUUCAAAUAUUAAUUUUCAUCCUUACAACCACCUUGGGAGAUAGGGGUUAUUGUUAUCCUAUUUUACAGAUGAGGAAAUUAAGGCAAAACAAUUAAAGUGACUUGCUCAGGGAUAUACAGCUAGUGUCAGAGAGUGGAUUUUGA